CAACUUAAAAUAGCAGCGCUCACUCCUCCACUGGCUUUUUUAUCAGGGGUCCCAGAGGCAGUGCCCAAAGUUCCGGGCAGCAGAGCUCGUGGCCGCGCGCGGUAGGGCUGGGCUGGGUUCUGGACACCGCGCGGCAGCUCGUAGUCCUCCGGCUCCCGCCGCAGCGCUCCCAGCCCGGCCUUUCAAGCAAUCACAUGGUGCGGCAGAGACUCACCCCGACGCUUUUAAAGAGCUCUCUCCUGCACCCACCUUGGGGAGCCCAAGGGACGAACCGAGGCUCAGACUUACCCAAGGUCACCAAAGCUGGCAGAGCUCCCGGCUACCUGAGCUGUUCUGUCCAAGUGCCCCCACGCCUCGACGCCUUCAGCAGCCGCUCGCUCCAGGGAUUCCUAGGCCUGUAUUGGGCAAGGGUCCUAGGAGAGCAAAGAGAGUCAGGUUGGGGACCCCAAUGUUAUCCAGCCACAACCCAACCCGGCCUCUGGAGGCUCUUCCCCCUCAUUGGAUCACAGAAUGCAAGGAAAAGGGUUCUGCCCAGAGGAGGUGAGUACGUUGCUUCUGCUGGGGGCUGCGCUGAAUCACCCUGAGGAAUGAGGUGAGACCUGGAACCCGGGUAGCUGGGAGGCGGGGAGGAAGGGCAGCUGAGUCUUCUGAGGAGGAGGGAAAAGUCCUCUGUAGGAAAAGAUAACUUUCAUUUCUGCCUUUAGGGGGAGCAAGGAAUCAGUGCCUCAGACAACAAAAUUACAUUCCUUCCCUAGAAGCUACUUGGAGAAAUUAGGAAGUGUAAACUCUCCUUCCUCCUCAUCCCCCUCCACUUCCCCUGCUGACUUUGUCAACACACCCAGCAGCACCUGACAUUCUGCCCGCUUCUCCUGCCAGCCAGACGUGAAGGUCUUUUCCAUCAUCCCCUCUCUGUCCUUCCCUUGGCUUAAGCCAUUUCUGGCUCAAGGCUUUCUCUCUCAGUUUACACUCAGCUUCCCAACGGUCGCUCAUCUAGAUGUCAGAAGAGCCUGCGAAGACCCAGAUGGACCCAGCUUGGGGACAGGGGUGGGUGAGUGGGGUCUCCCCCUCUAACCAUGGGCAGCAUCUUCAGCUCUGAAGGGCACCUGAACACCCCCCCACCCACACACACACAUACACUCCUUCCUCCAAUUUGUCUUACGACAGGUUGCUGACAUGUAGUGGAUGCAUUUGCAUAAUGCGUGUAGGUACUUUGUUUCUCGGUUCUGGGCAAAAUAAGCCAAAAUUUUCUUCCCCUCUCUUCUCCAUCCUUCCACCCCUGCCUGUUCCCAGGCCUCAGGGAUUAGACCAGCCUAUUUGACAGCAGAACUGGGCAAGGCAGGGUCUAUUCCAGAGGGCUGCCUUGGGAGAAGCACACGGUCUCCUCAGUCCUCUGGCUUGAAACGGAGGUGGGAGGGUUGGUUCUGGGCCCACCUGUGCAGCAGGGCCAUUUGAUGUGGUGAAAAGAGCAUUUGAUCAAGAGUCAGAAGAGCUGGAGCUUGCUUCUAGUCUCUACUCUGCCACUCACUGACUGUGUGACCUCAAGCAGGUCAUUUUUCCUCUCCUGGACUCAGUUUACCCAUCUGACACCAACAGCUGGUAAGUCCAUUCCAAGGCGGGAGAGAUGGGCUGAGCUGGAGACCACAGAACUCGGUCCUUCCACCCGGAACCCUUCUAAUGGUGGGCAGAUAUCAGGGCUGAGAGGAGGGGAAGUUUGUGAUGGAGGCAAGCAGAGGGAGAGGCGAGGUCACAGGUCUAUGACCAGGAGAGGACAAUGAGGAAGGCUGUAGGCAAACAGGUGGAGCCAGAACUCUCUGGCUUUCACAAUGUGUCCAGGACCUUUUGACAAUGACCCUCCCCACACCAGGGUCCCUCACACACUGCAACCAUGCAACCCUCCAAGCUUCACCUGUCUUCAACAGCUGAGCCUUGGCUUCCCCACCUGUAACAGCGGUGUAGGAAUACACCUUGGGGUAGGAUGGUUAUGAGACCACAAUGAGCUGGCUUUUGGAAAGCACCUAGCACUGAAAUUUUAUCAAAAAGGCAAGCAGGCAGCACCAGGCCAGUGAGGGGUAGGUGUGGAAAGGGAAAGAGAAAGAGCGCGAAAUCAUGAAAUUUGCCCUGCGCAGCCAGGGAGGCUCAUAUUGGUACCAAAUCCCACGGGUACCAAGUUGAGGUGCCCUGCAAGGUGCCCAAUGCAAAGCUUCUAUUUUACAUGUGACUCCAGGGGUGAGAUAAUGCCACAGUAAGUGUAAAGACCCCCCAGGGCCCUGCUGCCUCUUGGUCUUACUUCUUUCCUUCCUAAGCCCCUAUCAUGGGUUUCUCCACUGGCCCCUUGCACCCGCAGCCUCCUCACUGUGGCCAGCGGUGGGUGGGGGAGAUGGAGGGCUGCAGGGGAGGGACUCCUGGGUGAGGGGAACUUUGCUGAGCAGCCCUGCUCUCUUCUCCCUGGAACUCUCCAAACUGGACUAGACUCCCCAGAUCAGGAAGGACUGCCCACGGAGGAUGAAGUAUCCCAGAACACCUCUCGGGAGCCCAGAAAGGAAAGCAAAAGUUGUGGAGGACUUACUAUGAAGACGCCCCCCAGGAAACGCAAGCAUGGGGGAUGCAAGCCCGGCUGGGUCGAUCUCUGCCCAGAAUCAGCUGGAGCUCCCGGUGGUGUGUCCCAGGGGUCCUGAACACGAGAGGACCAUACUGGCUGGCAGGGGCUGGGGAGGAUUCUGGAGAAAGCAACACAUAGCCUGGGCAUUGGAGGAGGCGCCGGAUGCUCUGUGCUUGCAGAGGCGGGCUGGUGGCCAGGAGGAGGACUUGGUGAGCAGAGAGGGGACGAACAGCCUGAGCAAGGGGCGUGGGAAAUUGCGAGGCAUGUUGUGGGCGAGACCAAGGGCUUGACAUGCCCCAGGCUGAGCAGCAGAGUGACAACGAGGGGCCACGUUGCUGAGGCCCCCAGGGCAGGCUGAAAGGACUGUAGUGGGUGAUGCACCCACUUAUAGGCCUCACCCACAGCAAGCCUCCGCCCAGCCCCAGAUCUGCCCUGUAGCACUGAGUGACGCCCGACCAUCCCCCACAUCUCCCUGAGCCUCAGUUCUCUUAUACAUAAAAGAAGAA